rnacentral:rRNA from 1 species
AUUGAACGCUGGCGGCAGGCCUAACACAUGCAGGUCGAGCGGUAGAGAGAAGCUUGCUUCUCUUGAGAGCGGCGGACGGGUGAGUAAUGCCUAGGAAUCUGCCUGGUAGUGGGGGAUAACGCUCGGAAACGGACGCUAAUACCGCAUACGUCCUACGGGAGAAAGCAGGGGACCUUCGGGCCUUGCGCUAUCAGAUGAGC